UACGUAGGGUGCGAGCGUUAAUCGGAAUUACUGGGCGUAAAGCGUGCGUAGGCGGUUCGUUAAGUUCGUUGUGAAAGCCCCGGGCCCAACCUGGGAAUGGCAAUGGAAACUGGCGGGCUGGAGUAUGGCAGAGGGGGGUGGAAUUCCGCGUGUAGCAGUGAAAUGCGUAGAGAUGCGGAGGAACACCGAUGGCGAAGGCAGCCCCCUGGGCCAAUACUGACGCUCAGGCACGAAAGCGUGGGGAGCAAACAGG
rnacentral:rRNA from 1 species